rnacentral:rRNA from 1 species
GACGAACGCUGGCGGCGUGCCUAAUACAUGCAAGUCGAGCGAAGCGGGGACGGGUGAGUAACACGUAAGGAACCUCCGAUAAGCGGGGGACAACAUCCGGAAACGGGUGCUCAACCGCAUACUUAUCGAUGGCCUGCGUGCAUUAGCUCGUUGGUGGGGUAACGGCCUAACAGGCAAUGAUGCCUAUCCGACCGAGAGGGGAACCGGCCACAUUGGGACUGAGACACGGCCCAACCUCCUUCGGGAGGCAGCAGUAGGGAAUAUGCCGCAAUGGGCGCAAGCCUGACGGAGCAACGCCGCGUGAGUGAAGAAGGUUUUCGGAUCGUAAAGCUCUGUUGUAAGAGAAGCGGUAUCUUACCAGAAAGCCACGGCUAACUACGUGCCAGCAGCCGAGGUAAUAC